rnacentral:rRNA from 1 species
GAUGAACGCUGGCGGCGUGCCUAAUCCAUGCAAGUCGAGCGAACAGACGAGGAGCUUGCUCCUCUGACGUUAGCGGCGGACGGGUGAGUAACACGUGGAUAACCUACCUAUAAGACUGGGAUAACUUCGGGAACCCGGAGCUAAUACCGGAUAAUAUAUUGAACCGCAUGGUUCAAUAGUGAAAGACGGUUUUGCUGUCACUUAUAGAUGGAUCCGCGCCGCAUUAGCUAGUUGGUAAGGUAACGGCUUACCAAGGCGACGAUGCGUAGCCGACCUGAGAGGGUGAUCGGCCACACUGGAACUGAGACACGGUCCAGACUCCUACGGGAGGCAGCAGUAGGGAAUCUUCCGCAAUGGGCGAAAGCCUGACGGAGCAACGCCGCGUGAGUGAUGAAGGUCUUCGGAUCGUAAAACUCUGUUAUUAGGGAAGAACAAAUGUGUAAGUAACUAUGCACGUCUUGACGGUACCUAAUCAGAAAGCCACGGCUAACUACGUG